rnacentral:other from 1 species
AUAUUCCUGGGUUAUGCGUUGAGGAAUCAUAAUUGAACCUACAGUUUUGCAUCGGGAAUUCGGAGUUUUCGAAGCGUUAUGUCAGGCCCAUAUUUCAGGGGAAGACAGAGGUUAGAAACAGAAUACCCACCUAUCAUAAGAUAGGGCAUCAAUUAUCUCCUCGACGGUAUCCCGGGUCUUGA